UCGCGGCUUAUCACCGGCAGUCCCCUUAGAGUGCCCAACUGAAUGAUGGCAACUAGGGAUAAGGGUUGCGCUCGUUAAGGGACUUAACCCGACAUCUCACGAUACGAGCUGACGACAGCCAUGCAGCACCUGUCACCGGUCCAGCCGAACUGAAGGGAUCCAUCUCUGGAACCCGCGACCGGGAUGUCAAACGCUGGUAAGGUUCUGCGCGUUGCUUCGAGUUAAACCACAUGCUCCACCGCUUGUGCAGGCCCCCGUCAAUUUCUUUGAGUUUUAACCUUGCGGCCGUACUCCCCAGGCGGAUAACUUAAUGCGUUAGCUGCGCCACCGAAGACCUAAGGCCCCCGACAGCUAGUUAUCAUCGUUUACGGCGUGGACUAC
rnacentral:misc_RNA from 1 species